rnacentral:rRNA from 1 species
AACGAACGCUGGCGGCAGGCCUAACACAUGCAAGUCGAACGAGAAGUAUCCUUCGGGAUAUGGACAGUGGCGGACGGGUGAGUAACACGUGGGAAUAUGCCUUUCAGUACGGGACAACAGUUGGAAACGACUGCUAAUACCGAAUACGCCCUUCGGGGGAAAGAUUUAUCGCUGAAAGAUUAGCCCGCGUUAGAUUAGCUAGUUGGUGAGGUAAGAGCUCACCAAGGCGACGGUCUAUAGCUGGUUUGAGAGGAUGAUCAGCCACACUGGGACUGAGACACGGCCCAG